GGCCGUUUUUUGCGUGUUCACCACCGGUUUCAGUAAAAAAUUUAAACUUAACCAAAUCUCACUGUUGAAAAGUAGCUCUUUCAUAGCAAUGCCUCAAUAAAGUAACUUCGUUAUUUUUUUAUUGCAACUUCGGUGUUG